GAUGAACGCUGGCGGCGUGCUUAACACAUGCAAGUCGAACGAAGCAAUUGAGCGGAAGUUUUCGGAUGGAAGCUUAAUUGACUUAGUGGCGGACGGGUGAGUAACCCGUGGGUAACCUGCCUUAUACUGGGGGAUAACAGUUGGAAACGACUGCUAAUACCGCAUAAUAAAGAAUAUCGCAUGAUUUUCUUUUGAAAUAUUUAUAGGUAUAAGAUGGACCCGCGUCUGAUUAGCUAGUUGGUGAGGUAACUGCUCACCAAGGCGACGAUCAGUAGCCGGCUUGAGAGAGUGACCGGCCACAUUGGGACUGAGACACGGCCCAAACUCCUACGGGAGGCAGCAGUGGGGAAUAUUGCACAAUGGGGGAAACCCUGAUGCAGCGACGCCGCGUGAGUGAAGAAGUAUUUCGGUAUGUAAAGCUCUAUCAGCAGGGAAGAUAAUGACGGUACCUGACUAAGAAGCCC
rnacentral:rRNA from 1 species